rnacentral:rRNA from 1 species
UACGUAGGAUGCAAGCGUUGUCCGGAUUUAUUGGGUUUAAAGGGUGCGGAGGCGGCCUAUGAAGUUAGUGGUGAAAGCGUUCGGCUCAACCGGAUACCCGCCAUGGAUACUGAUAGACUUGAGUGCGACAGAGGGUGUUGGAAUGUGUGGCGUAGCGGUGAAAUGCUUAGAUAUCACGCAGAACACCAAUUGCGAAGGCAGAUGCCUAUGUCGUAACUGACGCUGAGGCACGCACGCGUGGGGAGCAAACAGG